AGAUGGGCAUGCGUGACAUUAGUUAGUUGGUGAGGUAACGGCUCACCAAGACUGCGAUGUCUAGGGGUUCUGAGAGGAAGGUCCCCCACACUGGAACUGAGACACGGUCCAGACUCCUACGGGAGGCAGCAGUGAGGAAUAUUGGUCAAUGGACGCAAGUCUGAACCAGCCAUGUCGCGUGCAGGAUGACUGCCCUAUGGGUUGUAAACUGCUUUUAUAUUGGAAGAAUUGCGCUUACGAGUUAAGCGUUUGACGGUACAUUAUGAAUAAGGAUCGGCUAACUCCGUGCCAGCAGCCGCGGUAAUACGGAGGAUCCGAGCGUUAUCCGGAUUUAUUGGGUGUAAAGGGUACGUAGGCGGGCCUGCAAGUCUGAUUUGAAAGCACACGGCUUAACCGUGUGAGGUAAUUAGAAACUACAGGUCUAGAGAGUGGUAGAGGUAAAUGGAAUUCCAAGUGGAGCGGUGAAAUGCGUAGAGAUUUGGAGGAACACCAGUAGCGAAGGCGGUUUACUGGGCCACAUCUGACGCUGAUGUACGAAAGCCUGAAAAGAAACAGGAUUAGAUACCCUGGUAGUCCACGCCGCCAUAGGGGAGUGCUAAGUAUCGGUAGAUUCGGUGCUUUAGGCUACGCCAGUAAGCACUCCGCCCGGGGAGUACGGUCGCAAGACUGAAACUCAAAAGGAAUUGACGGGNACUCGCACAAGCGGUGGAGCAUGCGGGUNUAUUUCGAUGCAACGCGAAGAACCUUACCGGGUCUUGACAGUGUAAAGAAUACUUAAGAGAUUAAGGGCUAAGAAUUAAGCUUGCUUAUUUCACUUUAUAAACAGGUGGUGCAUGGUUGUCGUCAGCUCGUGUCGUGAGAUGUUGGGUUAAGUCCCGCAACGAGCGCAACCCUUAUUGCUAGUUGCCAUCAUUAAGUUGGGCACUCUAGCAAGACUGCCGGUGACAAAUCGGAUGAAGGUGGGGAUGACGUCAAAUCAUCAUGCCCCUUAUGACCUGGGCUACACGCGUGCUACAAUGGCUAAUACAAAGAGUUGCAAAACCGUGAGGUAGAGCUAAUCUCAUAAAGUUAGUCUCAGUUCGGAUUGUAGUCUGCAACUCGACUACAUGAAGUUGGAAUCGCUAGUAAUCGUAAAUCAGAAUGUUACGGUGAAUACGUUCUCGAGUCUUGUACACACCGCCCGUCA
rnacentral:rRNA from 1 species